rfam:Ictidomys tridecemlineatus contig010718, whole genome shotgun sequence.
GGUGUUGUGGCUCAGUGGCAGAGUGCUUGCCUUGCACAUGAGAGGCACUGAGUUUGAUCCUCAGUACCACAA